rnacentral:rRNA from 1 species
UAGGCUCUCCAACCCAUUGUGAACUUACCAAACGUUCCCUCGGCGGGCUCAGCGCGCGGUGGCCUCCGGGCCUCCGGGCGUCCGCCGGGGAAAACCAAACCCUGAUUUAAUCGUAUUUCUCUGAGGGGCGAAAGCCCGAAAACAAAAUGAAUCAAAACUUUCAACAACGGAUCUCUUGGCUCUGGCAUCGAUGAAGAACGCAGCGAAAUGCGAUAAGUAAUGUGAAUUGCAGAAUUCAGUGAAUCAUCGAAUCUUUGAACGCACAUUGCGCCCGCCGGCACUCCGGCGGGCAUGCCUGUCCGAGCGUCAUUUCAACCCUCAGGCCCACCCUUCCGGGGGAGCGGGCCUGGUGCUGGGGAUCGGCGGCCCUCGCGGCCCCCGUCCCUCAAAUUCAGUGGCGGUCGCGCCGCAGCCUCCCCUGCGUAGUAGCACAACCUCGCACCGGAGAGCGGAACGACCACGCCGUGAAACCCCCAAUUUUUUAAGGUUGACCUCGGAUCAGGUAGGAAUACCCGCUGAACUUAAGCA